GGGUCUAUCGCACAAUGGUAGUGCACCUGCCUGUAAAGCAGACGCCCUUCGGGCAUUGUUGGUUCGAGUCCAGCUGGACCCAC
rnacentral:tRNA from 1 species